AAAAUAACACUACAGGAAACUGAAACAAGUUUAUUUUUGUUAAAAUCUCUUGUCAGGUAUAUUGCUAAUUGUAUUGUCAUCAUAUAAUUUGCAGUGUAUUGCAUAGAACGCCAAUAUAUCCAAUAUAUUUGUGAAUAUAGCCGAACACUCCCGGUGCAGCCCAAAGGUAACUGGUGACAAUGCUUCAUUCCAUAAUAAUUGUUGCUGUGCCAGUGGUCGCUGGCUUGGUUGUCGCCCUGUACACGUACUACAAGGAUUUGAGAGUAAAUCUGCUUUUUAAAAGCCAUUUGCAUGAUUGCAUCGCUGAAGUACAUUGCAGAUGGCACAAAUACCAUGUCAUGUGUCUUUACCUUUAUAAUUUUUGUCUACCGUUAUCUAUGUUGACUAAUGGAAAAGACAGAUUUGAAUCUUUUGUAUUACUUUAUUCACAUUGUAAAACAUCUGGGCCCAGAUCUUCAAAGCUAUCUUUGUGCUACGAUGUCGUAAAACCGUUGUAGGCUAUAGCAUGCGUUGCUAUGAUAUUAUACAGGGAUUCUAGAAUUUUUAUAAAAUCCACUAUCCAUGGGAUCAUUUACUAGCCUUGAUUAAAAUUCACUAGCCCAACCCAAUAUAAUACAAUUUUACUAAAUAAUAAUGAU